ACCAAAAAAGAAAAAAGAAAAAAUGUCGCUCGCUUAGGCUUAGGGUUGCUCCCUUCCCUGGCCGCCGCCACCAGCCCAAUCUCCGGCCGCCGCCUUCUCCGGUGCAUGGACCGGAAUCGUCCCCCAGCCCACCACCAGCUCUCUCCUCAUCGUGAGCCCUCCCCCAGCACCCCCGCAGAGAUCAUCCAGCCACCGACAUGCCGGAGUCCCUGCCGGCCGCCACCGACACCGAGCUCCUCAAGGCCCCCGACGCCGACGAGGCCGACCUUGUUCCACUGCCGACGAGAACCGCAACCUCCCUCCCUCCCUACUCACUCCAGCCACCGCGGGGCCCCCCCUUCCCAUCUCAUUCUGCACUCUGCAGCCACCUCUUCUCCUCAAAGCCUGCCCUCUCUCCCAGUCCCACUCAUUUUCGUUGAUUCAAUCUCCUCCACAAUCGGAGUAGUAGUACAUGGAGAAAUGACUAAGCUUCUCCAUCGUAGAACCCAAGCCCCACCUCCCAUUGUUAAUUUUUUGCUACUCAACUUGUGGAUACUGACUUCAGUUUCCAGUUAAGACUUGGUACUUGUUUGCUUCAGUUCAAAAGUUCAAAUUCAUAUCGUGCUUUAACAUUUGUUGUUGGGACUUGGAUAUUCUUAUAAAGCAGUACUACAAAUACUUUAUGACAUGACCAAGUUUGUUGGAUGCUCUGCAUUUUUUUAAUCUUGAUUUUGCCUACUCCGGACAGGGUGCCUGUUGCUGCGUUGCACACCUUUUUCACAACCAGUCUCUUCAUAUCAUAUUUAUGUCUUCCCAUCACUUUUGUAUCUCCAGCUUGACCACCAAGUUCAACAUUUGCCAGGUCCUUCUGUACAAGAUAUCACCACUUCUGAUUCAUAUGAGUGAAUCCUUAUUUAUUUUUCAUGGUUUUGACUAUAUAUGAGUGAAUUGGAGCAAGUUUGGUUUUGUUACUCGUUUUCCUUUUCUUAUAGUACAAUAAAAUAGGGGGGAUAGCUAAUGUUAUGUCUGAAGAAUACACAAAUUGCACUAACAACUUGGGGAGGUUCAAACUACAGAGCGAUAAUAGCAAGGGUUAGUUCCUCACUCCCCUGAUUCGUAGUGGCAUAUGUGGAUGAUUUGUCUAAGAGGAUCAAAUGCUGGGAAGGAUGAUCUUCUUCUUCAGUAAAGAUUAUUUUGUGUCAACUUUGCAUUUUUAGCUAUCUAAAUACAACCAUCAAUGACUAACAUGUUUUAUGGAGGUCUGUUUGGCUCUUAGCAGGCCUGUAGACACGAUGUUUACCAAGAUGACUUUGAAAACACCUGGCGGAGGAUAGGUUGGUCUGGCCAACGACGGCCUGGCAAUAUGAUUGGCCGUCCAGGUCCAUGAGGCAGCAGCUCUAAGGCAAAUGAAGGCUUUAGUUAAUUUUCUGUGAUAUUUAUGCCCCUGUUGGGCAAUAUUUAUGCCAUCGUUAUAACGCAUGGGCAACAUUUAUGGCCCCGUUGAAGGUACAUGGGCGAUAUUUAUGCCCCGCAAAAAAAAAGAAGGUA